rnacentral:rRNA from 1 species
AGAACGAACGCUGGCGGCGUGUUUAAGACAUGCAAGUCGCACGGGGACAAGUUGAGUAGUAAUACGAUUCUUGUUUAGUGGCGCACGGGGUGAGUAGCACGUGAAUUACAUGCCCUAUAGUGGGGAAUAGCCCAGGGAAACUUGGAUUAACUACCCCAUGGUCUCGCAAGAGUAAAGGUGGCCGCAAGGCUGUCGCUAUAGGAUUGGUUCGCGCCCUAUCAGCUUGUUGGUGAGGUAACGGCUCACCAAGGCUACGACGGGUACCUGGUCUGAGAGGACGAUCAGGCACACUGGAACUGAGACCACGGUCCGAAGACACCGUACGGGUGGCAGACAGUCGGAAGAAUAACUUCAACAAGUUACGGGGGGACCAAACCCUGGAGUGGGUA